AUAAGUUAACAUGAAUCGUUUCAACUCAGAUUGAUCGAUUGAUGACUCAAGUUAGGAGGAACGUAAUACCAACAUCAUGCAACUACGAUGACUCAAUUGAAAUUGUAGUUUACUAUAUGAAAUCAUUCUUAGUUUUAGCUAAAUAAAUUUAGGUAUUUUAAAUAAUAAGUUAAUAUGAAUCUUCCAACUCAAAUUGAUCGAUUGAUGACUCAGGUAAGGAGGAGCGCAAUACCAACA
rnacentral:lncRNA from 1 species